UUGAAAAAGAUACGGAGCUCACUCUCCGUUCAUCUCAACGUGAACGCUGUAAGCUAUAACAAUUUCUGAAGAUGCUGUUUAUCUCUAUGCACAGUAUAUAUACAUUCAACCUAUACGCGUCAUGAAGCCCCCCCUUUUUUUUUUUUUUUAUGGCAGAACAACGUGUGGGAUUCAUAGGCACGUGGUGAAUUUAUCAAAGAGUCCCUCUAUUGUUGAGCUGGCCUUACUGAAGAACGGCCCGGUUGACCACAACAAUCGCCAAAUGGGCAUCGGUUACACGAAGGAAGCUUGCCCUAGCUAACGUUCGAUAUUCUACUUUUUGUUGUUACAGUUGUUGCCGUUUGGUUUUCUCUGAGUGCAAUAAGAAAAGAAUACUAGCAGAAGACGGCUUUCUACAUAGA